UAAUUCGGGAACGUGAAUACCCUCGGAAAACUAAAAAUACCCAACAAUAAAUCUUAGGGCCGGAAAGGGUUUAUGGCCCAAACAUUUUACUGCCUGGGGAGGGGACGGCGCCCUACCUGUUUGUGGGGGAGGUAAGGCCCCACCAAGGCAAUUACAGGUCCGGCUUCUAAAAGAAAAACCCCGAAAAUGGUUACUGAAACACGCACCCAGCCCUUAUGGGGCCCACCAGGCAAAAAACCUUACCAUUGUGCAAAACCACGACUGGUUCAUCCCAAUUGAUUCCUAAUAAAGGAUUUUUUUGUUUGUCCAAAAACCACAGGUAAAUAAGGGGGGGGCAAUUUUGGUGCCACCCCCCGCGUAAAUACCACCCCCUCGGGGGGUCAGGACUUUUAUUGGGCCUAAACCAUCCGUAGCCGGUUCUGCAAUUCUUCGGUUAAACCCCCCUGCUCAAAAAAUGGCUUGCUGAAAAUCCUACAAAGUUAGGGAGGGGAAAAGGCAAACGUUAUUCGGGGGGUAGGGAAAAAAUCUUUUAAUCCAUUGAGAACCACCAGUGGCGAAGGCGGCCUGCAAAACCACUUUCAACGGUGAGGAAUAAAAGCUGGGGAACCAAACCGAAUUAAAUCCCCGGUUAGCCCCAGUUGUAAACAAUGCAAACUCGUUGAUGCAUUGCUUUAUGGCCAAUGCACUGCCGCAGGAAACCCUUUAAUUUUGCCGCCUGGGAAGUACGGACGCAAGUCUAAAACUCAAAGGAAUUGACGG
rnacentral:rRNA from 1 species